rnacentral:rRNA from 1 species
UACGGGGGGGGCAAGCGUUGUUCGGAAUUACUGGGCGUAAAGGGCUCGUAGGUGGCCAACUAAGUCAGACGUGAAAUCCCUCGGCUUAACCGGGGAACUGCGUCUGAUACUGGAUGGCUUGAGUUUGGGAGAGGGAUGCGGAAUUCCAGGUGUAGCGGUGAAAUGCGUAGAUAUCUGGAGGAAUACCGGUGGCGAAGGCGGCAUCCUGGACCGGCAUUGACGCUGAGGAGCGAAAGCCAGGGGAGCAAACGGG